GGCGAGGUAGCCAAGUUGGUCACGGCGGGCGCUUGAAGAGCGUUAGAUGUCGGUUCGAUUCCGACCUUCGCCA
rnacentral:tRNA from 1 species